rnacentral:rRNA from 1 species
UGCCAGCCGCCGCGGUAAUACGAAGGGGGCUAGCGUUGUUCGGAAUUACUGGGCGUAAAGCGCACGUAGGCGGACUUUUAAGUCAGAUGUGAAAUCCCGGGGCUCAACCUCGGAACUGCAUUUGAAACUGGAAGUCUGGAGUUCAGGAGAGGUUAGCGGAAUACCGAGUGUAGAGGUGAAAUUCGUAGAUAUUCGGUGGAACACCAGUGGCGAGGGCGGCUCCCUGGCCCGGGACUGACGCUGGGGCGCGAAAGCGUGGGGAGCAGACAGGAUUAGAUA